rnacentral:rRNA from 1 species
CCUACGGGCGGCAGCAGUGAGGAAUAUUGGUCAAUGGGCGCGAGCCUGAACCAGCCAAGUCGCGUGAGGGAAGAAGGUCCUAUGGAUUGUAAACCUCUUUUGUCGGGGAGAAAAAGACGCCACGCGUGGCGUUCCGAGAGGACCCGAAGAAAAAGCAUCGGCUAACUCCGUGCCAGCAGCGGAGGUAAUACGGGGGAUGCGAGCGUUGUCCGGAUUGAAUGGGGGUAAAGGGAGCGCAGACGGGAGAUCAAGUGAGCGGUAAAAUUGAGGGGCUCAACCUCUGCGAGCCGUUGAACCUGGUUUUCUUGAGUGAGCGAGAAGUAUGCGGAAUGCGAGGUGUAGCGGUGAAAUGCAUAGAUAUCACGCAGAACUCCGAUUGCGAAGGCAGCACACCGGCGCGCAACUGACGCUCAUGCACGAAAGUGUGGGUAUCGAACAGGAUUAGAUACCCGAGUAGUC